GCAAAUCAUUGCUGGCUCUUCCUCUCCUUCUUGCACACACCAUCUCAGCACCUCUUGGAACCGGCAUUUUUGUUCUCUGAGCCUCAUUUAACCAAGAGGCAUGUAUCCAGUUGAUCUGUUGAUGAUCCUUCGUCGAGGAUUCAGGAUCGGAUGGUAUCUCUGUGUGACUGAAAUGAACCACCUGUUGUCUUCAAAUGAAAUUCCUGAAUUCUUUGAGACAUCUGAAUUAUGUUAUCAAGCCUUCAGAAAGGCUCCUGGUGCAGCUGCACUCCAGAGCAGUUCUGCCCUACUGAGUCCUCUUGAAGUUGGAUGGAUUUCCAUGGAAGAGGGGCCUGCAGAGUUGAUAAUCGAACAAAGAAAAGAGAAAAUUAAAUUCACCUAUACCAACCAAGUGGGCAAACGAGGGCAAUCCAAUGUCAAAUAAAGGACGUUUCGAACGUCCAUCUUAACGGACACUUGUUUUAUUGGAAAACCCGGCCAGAAAUGCCCUCAACCCAAAGGUUUUCUUAUGAGCUUUCAGUUUGCAUCUUAAUGCUAUUUUUAUAGCAUCUGGGUUGGUUUUCAUCUACCAUAAAUAGAAAAAAAACAAAACAAAACAAAACCAACAAACCACUGAGUUGAGGAAUUGAAAAGAUAAUUUGAGCAGAGUGAUGAGUAGGUAGGGUAUGGAAUAAAAAUGCCAGUUCUUCAUAUAGAAAAAUGUUCUAUUCUAGAAAAGGAAAAAAAAAAAAACCCUCUUCUGGUUCUAAAAAAAGUCAUUUCAGUGAUUCUUGUUUUGUUCAAUUUGGAAGUGCAGGUAUAGCAAUUCUAAUUUCUUAAAUGCCUACUGCUCUGUAAAUUGAACAGAAAAGAUGUAAUUAAGUGUGUAUAAUUUACUUGAAAUGAAAUUAGGUUCAAAUUUAAUUCUUCCUCUGUGUGCAUUGUAGUGUGGAAAAUGCCAGAUUUUUAAUAAUCUUCCAGAAAAAAAUGACGUUUCCUUAUAUUAGGAUCUAAUAUAAUUGGAAGGAUGCCUGGCUCAGUGGUUGAGCAUCUGCCUUUGGCUCAGGUUGUGAUCCCGGGGUCCUGGGAUCGAGUCCUGCAUCAGGCUCCCUGUGGGGAGCCUUCCUUUCUCUCUGCCUAUGUCUCUGCCUCUCUGUGUGUCUCUCAUGAGUAAAUAAAUAAAAUCUUUUAAAGAGAAAAUAAUAUUCGUGUAGCUUCAGUGGAGACUAUAGGGUUGUGUCUAAUCUAAAGAACAUAUUGAUUCCUAUGGAAGAUCAGGUGGUGUUUCUCCUCUUGCUGUUGACACAUCGUAUACCUCUGAUGCAUGAGGUAGCCCAGGGGCCUCUAGCAAGUCCAUGCUACAACUCCAGCCAGGAUCUAGAGAAUGAAGUUUAUCGGUUUUCCCCUAGAAAAGGGAACUUGUAUUAGUAUCAUACUAAUAUGCCAGAAAAUAGGAACUCACAGCUUUAUCAAGCCUGCCCAAAAUGAGAUCUUAGACAAAUUUCAGAUAUAUUAGAUAGUAUCAAGCCCUGAUCUAAAAGAAAAAUAAUGACCAUAUUGUGUGAUUACUCUGUGCCAGGCUGUACUUAAGUGUGUCGUUUAUCACAUCAUUUAAUUAUUUUACCAGCCCUGUGAAAUAGGUACUAUUAAUAUUUCCAUUUAACAGAUGAAGAAACUGAGACUAAGAAAUGUUCAUUUAUUUCCCCAAGAUCACAUUGCCAGUAUGUGUUGGGACUGUGAUGUACAUUGUGUGUGUGUGUGUGUGUGUGUGUGUGUGUGUGUGUGUGUGUGAGAGAGAGAGAGAGAGACAGAGAGAGAGAGAGAGAGAGUGAUCUACCUCUUGAAAGAUACUUUACUCUUGCCUCUGUUCCUACACAAAGUCCUCUAGGCUACACAUAGUAUUGUUGUGAUAGAGGAGUUGGAAUAUAAAGUUUCUGUGAGUACCAUAUUACUAAAUGGUACAGUGUUUUAUGAACAAACUGGAUACAAAUAAAUUUUUAGCAUUCCCUAUAAAGCAGCACAAGGUAUAAAUGUGAUAUUUUGAAACCAGGACAUUCUUUUUUUUUUUUUUUUAAACCAGGACAUUCUUUAAAAAAAAAAAAAAAAAAGAUUGUAUUUAUUUGAGAGAGAGAGAAUACGAGCAAGGUGGGGAGGCACAGAGGCAGAGGGAGGAGAAACAGGCUCCUUGCUGAGCCAGGAGGCCAACACUGCUCUCAAUUCCAGGACCCUGGGAUCAUGACCUAAGCCAAAGUCAGAUGCUUAACCGACUGAGCUACCCAGGCACCCCGAAACCCGGACAUUCUUAAGAUUUCAUGCUUGAUUUUUUUUUUAAGAUUUACUUAUUUAUUUUUUAGAGAGAGAGAGAGCAUGAGCAGGAGGGUUGGGGAGAAGGUGCAGACUCCACAUUGAGUUCAAAGUGCUAUCUAGGGUUUGAUCCCACAACCCAGAGAUCAGGACCUGAGCCCAAACCAAGAGUCAGACGCUUAACCAACUGCACCACUCAGGCGCCCCCAUCAUGCUUGAUUUUUUUUUUAAGAUUUUUAUUUAUUUAUUCAUGAGAGACACAGAGAGAGAGAGAGAGAGAGAGAGAGAGAGAGAGAGAGGCAGAGACACAGACAGAGGGAGAAGCAGGCUCCAUGCAGGGAACCUGAUGUGGGACUUGAUCCCAGGACUCCAGGAUCACACCCUGGGCCAAGGGCAGGCACUAAACCACUGAGCCACCCAGGGAUACCCCAUGCUUGAUUUUUUAAUUGGCACGUGGUCUUGGUUUCCCCAAUGUAGCUAUGAAUAUAGAUUCCUGGGCUUUUUGUUGUCUUUGAACUAUUUUGUAACUCUGGAAGUCUCAGAAAUGUGAAGAUGAAUCUUGUCUCUAGAAAUGCAAAUGAAUUUUGUCAAGAGGAAUGCAAAUGAUUGUCACUCUGUGGACAAUCACACCAAUUUUGCAUCUAUGAGUAAAUUCAUUUCAGUAUUCCUGAUUUUGUGUGUGUAUUGCUUGAACUCCCCUUUGAACCCGCUGUAAUAUCUGACCCAUUCUCCCAUUUGAGUUAAAUAAAAUCUUUGACAUGUGUUCAUUUUGUAUUUGUAUAUGACUCAUGAUUUCACCAUGAAAAAAUUGUUUUCCCCUUUAACUUUCCCUUUAUUCCUUCUUUCCAUUUUUUCAUCUAUUACAGCGGGCAGAUCUAUCCCCAAAUGCUGUUUCUGUAUGCCCACUAGCUAAGAAUGAUGUUGUUUUAGCAACUUUUUUUAAAAAAGAAAAAAUAUUUUGUGACAUGUGAAAAUUUUACAAAAUUUAAACUUUGAAUAAACUUUAAAUAAAGUUUGAUUGGAAUGCAGUUGUGCUCAUUAGUUUUCAUCUUGUCUGUGGCUGCUUUCCUGCUACAACAGCAGAG
rnacentral:lncRNA from 1 species